CGUCUGGAAAGGCGCGCGAUACAGGGUGACAGCCCCGUACACAAAAAUGCACAUAUUGUGAGCUCGAUGAGUAGGGCGGGACACGUGGUAUCCUGUCUGAAUAUGGGGGGCCCAUCCUCCAAGGCUAAAUACUCCUGACUGACCGAUAGUGAACCAGUACCGUGAGGGAAAGGCGAAAAGAACCCCGGCGAGGGGAGUGAAAAAGAACCUGAAACCGUGUACGUACAAGCAGUGGGAGCACGCUUAGGCGUGUGACUGCGUACCUUUUGUAUAAUGGGUCAGCGACUUAUAUUCUGUAGCAAGGUUAACCGAAUAGGGGAGCCGAAGGGAAACCGAGUCUUAACUGGGCGUUAAGUUGCAGGGUAUAGACCCGAAACCCGGUGAUCUAGCCAUGGGCAGGUUGAAGGUUGGGUAACACUAACUGGAGGACCGAACCGACUAAUGUUGAAAAAUUAGCGGAUGACUUGUGGCUGGGGGUGAAAGGCCAAUCAAACCGGGAGAUAGCUGGUUCUCCCCGAAAGCUAUUUAGGUAGCGCCUCGUGAAUUCAUCUCCGGGGGUAGAGCACUGUUUCGGCA
rnacentral:rRNA from 1 species